GCGGUCGGGAGGCCGGAAGCAGUCGGGAGGCUGGGGUUACGCUCGCUCCUGGGCACUUAGGUACCCUCGCGAGAGGGGUGUUGGUCUGUCUUUGUCCCCGGAAGUCCUCUCGCCCGGUGCUGCAGGGAGGGCUCGGCUGCCGUCUGGAAGAUGCUGCGUGACAGAGAUCGACAUGACCCUAGGGACCCGCGCAGCGCCUGGCUCAGGUGUUUGCGGGAGUCAAGUGAGCGAGAAGACGCUGGUCCUGCGGUCCCCGCGUCGUCCUGCACCUGUGUUACCCCAUUACACAGUUGAAAGUGAAUGCCGCUUGUAAGGGACUCAGUCGGCUUUUUAAAAAGCAGAGGCUUCCUUUUUUUUCUUGUCUUUUAAAAAAAAUUCUUGUAGGAAAAGAAGAAAGUCGAGCUCCCCAGUGUGUACCGAACGCGGAGGGUCCCUCGGCUUGGGGAGCCCAGACCUCAGCCCAGCGACCUGAAGCCACCCGAUGGUGGCCCCGUGCGGAUGCAGGGGUGCCACGCGCUUGAUGAGCCACCGCACAGGUACCGAGGAAGGAGAGGCUCGUCUAGGUGGGGUGCGAUGCGUGCCAUUCCCCUGACGUGACACCAGACGUCACCGACUCAGAGCGGAUGAGUGACAGAAGUAUUCAUGACGGGGACCGGACAAGUACCCAGAGCCUCAGCCUGCUCCCGGAAUGAACACCUGCGGAACAGACCUACACCCGGCCCGCCCCGAGGAGUCAAGCUCAGUCAACCCACAGUCUGAAGAUGAGCUACCCAGGCAAGGCUUUCCUCGCCAUGCCGAAUUUCAACAGACCUGCAGGACUCUCGUGAUUACACUGGGCCCCCCUGGAUAUUUCAAGAUACUCUCCCCGUCUCAGAUCCUGAACUUAAUCACACCUGCAAAGUCCCUCUAAAGCCAGAGAAUCAACAUGGUCACUGGUUUCAGAGAUCAGGAUGUGGACAACUGGGGGUCGUAAUUCCACCCGUCCCAACAUACGUUCUUGUAUUUCCCAGACUUACUUCUUCGUAACAUUUAUUACAAUUUCCAAGAUUGUAUUUGUGCGACUACUGAUGAUAUGUCUCCUAUUUGUCACUUGAGGACAAAGGCUUUGUCUUAUUCAUUGUAUCACCAAACCCUUGUUCAGGCUUGGCACAUGGUGAGGCCUCAAAAAACAUCUGUCCACUCAGUCGGUGAAUGAACAAGUCAGUGCUGACAGACAGCUGUCCCCAAACUGUUACAGUCUUAAUCAGCAGCGAUAAACGUCAUCAGAACGAGGAGCACGAACACGGGAGCUCGUUUCGUGCGGCCUGACUGGUCAAGGCCAGAAGAAGCACCGCGCUUUGUUCCGAGCACCCCGCCCAAGUGUGGCAGAGGCGAACUGGGACGUAGUUAAAUGAAGGCAACGGGGAAGUGAAGAACGAAACACCAGCAUCCUGAAAAACCCAGAGAAUCCGUAGUUUCGGGCUCAGUAGAGACGAGGAAGGGUAUGAAGCAAAACAUCACUGAGACCCCCAUCACCGGUCAGCAUGGCGGCGCGUGUGGGGGGCGAGCCGAAUGCGUGUGUUUUGAAUUCCAUUUACACAAAGCGUGUGAACGAUGACACAGAUGACUCCAUCUAGGAAAUGUGUUUCCCAAUA